ensembl:lncRNA
CAAUGAGGUGAGGGGAGUUCCUUACUAUUCAGCGACCAAUUAGGACCAAGCCAAUGAGGUGAGGGGAGUUCCUUACUAUUCAGCGACCAAUUAGGACCAAGACAAUGAGGUGAGGGGAGUUCCUUACUAUUCAGCGACCAAUUAGGACCAAGACAAUGAGGUGAGGGGAGUUCCUUACUAUUCAGCGACCAAUUAGGACCAAGACAAUGAGGUGAGGGGAGUUCCUUACUCUUCAGCGACCAAUUAGGGUUUCCAAUCUCUCCCCCCAAAAAGUGGUGAUCGAUGGUGUCAAAAGCAGCAC